AACGAACGCUGGCGGCAGGCUUAACACAUGCAAGUCGAACGCCCCGCAAGGGGAGUGGCAGACGGGUGAGUAACGCGUGGGAAUCUAUCCAUCUCUGCGGAAUAGCUCUGGGAAACUGGAAUUAAUACCGCAUACGCCCUACGGGGGAAAGAUUUAUCGGGGAUGGAUGAGCCCGCGUUGGAUUAGCUAGUUGGUGGGGUAAAGGCCUACCAAGGCGACGAUCCAUAGCUGGUCUGAGAGGAUGAUCAGCCACAUUGGGACUGAGACACGGCCCAAACUCCUACGGGAGGCAGCAGUGGGGAAUAUUGGACAAUGGGCGCAAGCCUGAUCCAGCCAUGCCGCGUGAGUGAUGAAGGCCUUAGGGUCGUAAAGCUCUUUCACCGAUGAAGAUAAUGACGGUAGUCGGAGAAGAAGCCCCGGCUAACUUCGUGCCAGCAGCCGCCGUAA
rnacentral:rRNA from 1 species